GGGGCCCGGAGGCGCCGCGCACCCCGCGCCGCUCGCAGAGGCGCGCAGGGGCGGCCGCCGGGCGGGCAAGGAGCGGCGGAGCGGGGCGGCCCCCCCGGUGCACCGCGCCGGAGCGCCGCGGGAGGAGGAGAAGGAGGAAGAGGAGGAGGAGGAGGAGGAGGAGGAGGAAGGAGGAUGGCCGCGGCGGCGGGGCAGCGCCGGGGCACCGCGCUGCUGGCCCUCGCCCUGGGGCUCCUCGCCGCCGCCGCGCAGAUUUGGAGACUGUGUCUGAACAGUCCAUAGAAAGGCAACAAGAUCUCUGCGUUUGGUCUCCCUAAAAUUUCCAUCUGGGAUGAAAACAUGGAAGAAGGCUCCUCAUCUACCAGGAAGAAGACUGCUCACCAGGCAUUUUAAAAAAGUAUAUUUAGAGCCACAUCAGGCUCCUGUAAUAUUCUUAUGGGAUUUGAACUGUGACAGGACAUGUUCUAAAAUGGUGAACAGAAGCUAAAGAAGAAAGUUGACUGUUCACAGGGUGACUGUGAACAUCUAAUCUAAUACAAUGUUGUAGUUUAUUAAGCUAUUUAGGAAAACUUAGUUAAGUAUGUUGUUAAUUAAAAAUCCAUAUGAUCCAAAAAUAUUUCAUCAUCUAGUAAUGGUUUUAAGAUUAUAGCAUAUAUGAUUAUCUAAAACUUUUAGUUAAGACAAAUAAAAGCUCGCAUAACUUUUAUUGUAUUUUGUUU
rnacentral:lncRNA from 1 species